UUUUUUUUUUUUUUUGCUUCUAUUUAAACCCGGCUUGUUUGCUUUUGUUACCGUGUUCGGGUUCCCAGUCUGCUUAGCUUGGAUGUUUGUUGUGUGCUCAGUAACACUGAGUUUUGCUUCUCCAAACUCUGUUAACAGUCACCCUUGGGUUCUGCUGGAAUGCGUGCUUGUCUGUCUCACUGCUUUUGAUACCUGAAUUCCUCCAUGGAAGCUGAAGGGUUGUGAUUUUUUUUUUUUAACCAAGUUUUUGAUAGGGAAACAGUGCAGUGUGCUUAACCACCCCAAUGGCUGGUUACAUUUGCAGGUUGUUCUGCUCAGUCAGACGUGGACUUUUAUGUUCUGAGCCACGUUUCUCGUUGGGCAACCAAACCUGUUUGUUCUCUGGAUGCUGGAGUUGUCCUGCAGGCAGCCUCUGCCGUCGUGGGAUCUGAGCAUCCAUGGGAAGGUUUUAAGGUGUCUCCUGGCUAUAAAUUGAAGACAGCUGCCCUGAAAGGGAUAUGCUGCCCUUCUCUCAUCAGCACCAUGCAGCCCUUUGAGCCUACCACCCCUCCUAGCUGCCCUGAACCCUGCAGCUGUGACUGAGUGUAUUUUCACACUGUCUGCAUAUGCUGGUGGGCAGCUCAGCCUGUCUCUGCCCUCCUGGCACAGCUCUGCCCUGGGAGGAGCUCUGUGAUGCCCAGCUCUGCAGCAAGGUAAGUCCUGGAACCUUCACUUGUCAUUUCUUUGCUGGAAGUGCACUGUUUUCCCAUAGGGGAAGGUGUGACCUGCAGUCUGUGCUGUGUAGGUGAGUUGUUGGGAGUUCCCCUUUGAGCUGCUCCUUUCUUGUUAUGCUGGUGUCAACAUUUGCAAAGGACGAAACAUGGCUGAUGUGGGUUGAGCCAGCAGUGGGGAAAAGGAGCAUCCUACUGACCUGAGCUCUGCUCAGCACAGCUCCUGCAUGCUGUGUGUGAGUCCUGCUCCUUUGCCUCCCUUAAAGGGUUUGUGUUCUGAGCAGGCAUCCUGACUGAUGUAGCAUGCAGCCUUUGGGAUGCUAGGUUGGCUUCCUCCCAUGUAGGUGGCUUUAACCUCUCAUGCAGCAGGUGCCAGGGCUGUUUGCUUCAUAUUGAACCAUGAGCAUCAGUGUCCACUGGGCUGGGUUCUGCUCCUGUCCGUGGUGGGAUGAGCAGCAGAUUGGUGGUGUAAGGUGUGAGUGAUGUGAGUUGUUUACUUCUGGCAUUGAUUGCGUUGAAUAGACUCUUAACUCUUGUUGGAGUUGUCUGUAUUGCUUCUUUGAGAGCACCAGCUCUUUCCUUCCCACACAUGCUCAUAGAACUGGGUGGAUUCAGCCCCUCGACCCAAGGCAGCUCUCUGCUCUGCAUUCCUGCACUCCUUCCUCAUUUGGCCACUGGUCCUUCCCCCCAUAUUUGCUGGCUCUGUUGUUUAUUGGCUUUGCGUGUCACUUCCCCUAAUAUUUUCUCACAUCCUUGCUGCCAUGCACGUCUUUAGCUUACUAAUUGUCCCCCAGUUCUUUUUUCUCUGCACAUAGUUGAUCAUCUAGGCACUGUUAAUGUAAGCAAGAUAUUUUUUCCUGUUUGGAGAUGCCCACAUUUGCUGUUGGAGCAUUUCCAGCCAUUCCUUGGGCGAUGUACUGAGAACUUCUGCACAGAGGGUUUCACUGCACCACCAGGAGCUCCACGUCCCCUGCAGACCUGAGCAGCUCCUGUUCAGACUGUGUCUCUCCAAACCCAAUUUCAUGCCAUUGCUGGGCUCAGACUGAUCUUUUUCGGUGCUGUGAGUGCUUUUUUGCAGCAUCACAGGUUACAGAGGUUCCCCCAUGUGCAAAGUGCCAGCUGCUCCUGCAGCCCCGAGCAGCGUUUCCGCCUCUCCAUGGGCACCCAGGGAUGUGCUCUGUGUUGUGUUAUCUCUGACAGGAGCACAGCAAGCUGUGCUGUGUCUCCGUGUUACCAAGCAGGACCACACAACUAUUCAAUGAUUCUCCCUGGAUGGUUUUCACACUGCCUCAAGCUCCUCUCUCUUAGGGGUGGGAUUGAAAAAGACCAGAGGAGAAGCUCUGAUGUAAACCCUCUCUUUGAGGCACAUCUCUGCUGGCUGGGGAAGGCCUUGCUCUCCGCCUUCAAUGCAGAACGCCCCAAGCAUCUUCAUUUAAGAGGCAGCAUGAAAUUAGAAGCUUUUUUUUUUUUUUUCCUUUCUCCCUCCAUGAAACAGAUUUAUUUUUCCUUUGGCUUGCACUGUGCACCACGUGCAGAAAGAAUGCACCUAAUGAGUGGCUGGAGCUCAGCAGCAGAGGAGGGGGGUCUGGGAGGGAACCAGAGGUUCCUGCCUCCCCUUGCACAGCUGGAGGGACAGAUCUGCUCCUGUUGGAGCAACACACUGCAGCCUCAGGUGAUGAUGAGUGCCAAUGGGUGCCCAAGGAUGUGGCACUCUGCUCCUCCUUUGUAUAACUUGGCCACUCUUGGAGCUUUCUGCAACAUUCUUGGGGCUCCACAGUGAUCUGGGUGAUGGGAAAAGGACCGAUGGCACCUUCAAUUACAGAGCACAUUGGCUUUGGGUCAGAGCUCUGUUCUGUGUUAUCAGUUUUGGUGCGAGACGUGUUUUAUAUCCAGGCAGUUUCUCUUAUAAAAUGUGCAUGAGGAUUUUAUGUAAGCAGGGCAGGAACCAAGCUCUGUGUUUUAAUCUUGCGCAAUUAUCUCCACGCCAGAGCAGCCGAAGCUUUCCUCUUGCCCUGAAGCCAGUGCUUGUUCACAUCUAGUUACAGUCAGACGACAUGAAGCACCCGGAGUGAUGCGCCCUGCGUGAUGCUGCUGCAUCCAGAACACGUGGAAAAUCUUCAUGAAGUUGGAUGUGGAGCUUCUGGUGAUGGAGCUGUUUUCUUUGAGGACCCCCCAAGUUCAUGCUUAUUUCCAACACCCUGCUCAGCACAUCAGCUCUGCGCUGCUGCCCCUCCUCUGCUCAGCCUUCAGGUGACCACAAAACGUCUCCAUUCCCCAAACCAGCGUGGUGUAAUCGUCUCCAAAGGGAUUAGUGACGGUGCUUCUCGUGGCUGUCAUUGCCUUUAUGCAGGCUGUCACCAUCCUGGGACUCUCAGAGCAGUGCUUUGGCUCUCAUACCUGGCUGAGCUGUGGCUGCCAGCUCUGUUCAUCUGAGCUGUGUGAAGUGGCAGACAGAUUGCAUUACUCUCUGAGCAUGUUCAGCUCUUCCCAAAUCCAUCUCUCUGCUCGGUGUGCAAGCUGGCAGUGCUGAUGUCCCACAGCAGCCCAGGGACCUUCACCAGGCACUGCCAUGCAGCUCCUGUGUUGCUUUUCUGGAUGAGUACAGCUCAAGUUGAGGCUUGAUAGGAAGGGAAAGCACUGAUGGCAGCUUCUGGUUU